rnacentral:rRNA from 1 species
GACGAACGCUGGCGGCGUGCUUAACACAUGCAAGUCGAACGGAAAGGCCCUGCUUUUGUGGGGUGCUCGAGUGGCGAACGGGUGAGUAACACGUGAGUAACCUGCCCUUGACUUUGGGAUAACCUCAGGAAACUGGGGCUAAUACCGGAUAGGAGCUCCUGCUGCAUGGUGGGGGUUGGAAAGUUUCGGCGGUUGGGGAUGGACUCGCGGCUUAUCAGCUUGUUGGUGGGGUAGUGGCUUACCAAGGCUUUGACGGGUAGUCGGCCUGAGAGGGUGACCGGCCACAUUGGGACUGAGAUACGGCCCAGACUCCUACGGGAGGCAGCAGUGGGGAAUAUUGCACAAUGGGCGGAAGCCUGAUGCAGCAACGCCGCGUGCGGGAUGACGGCCUUCGUGUUGUAAACCGCUUUCGCCUGUGACGAAGCGUGAGUGACGGUAAUGGGUAAAGAAGCACCGGCUAACUACGUG